ensembl:lncRNA
CAAAGGUUUAUUUGCAUGACGCACAAACAGACACAAUUGAAAGGUACAAAUGUGCAUGACACGAAUUCAAACGUGCUGCAGAUGUGUGUCACCAGUUGAUCUGGCUGUAGGCUGUGGCACUUGGCCAGAGGUGGCGCUGGUUGACUCGACUCCAUGUUGGUGCACAGAGCAAACUGCUCGCUUUAGUUGUGGAGCAAAAACGCUGAAUUCGGUGAAAUAAACCGUGCGAGUGGAACGAUAACGACGACAAGGGUCUCCCGAUCGUUUACUCUUGCUGUCCUGUGAACAACAACGGCGUGGUGUUACUUGUUUGCUGUUUUCGCGAUCGAGUCGCGCAUGAGGAUAUCACCAGGAGCUCCUGAAACGCAAGACUGCCACACAUCUGUUCGACCAACGCCAGUUGAUCUAAACGCCAGUUGAUCUGGAACACCGGAGAGCAGAGGCAGUCGCUCGUUAAGCUUAACGUGGGAAUGCUUUACAAACAUUCAGAGAUGGACUUACACACUUGCUUUACUUCUCUCGGGGAUAACUUUGUCAGAGAUGAAAUGCCAGGUUGCUAGCGAAGCUCCACAUGCUAUCCAGACCACCGACAGGUCCCGCAUGCCACAGCUGCUCUAUCACGUGAUGCAUACUGCUCCGACUGCUAACGUUCUGAGUAAAUCCUAAGAGAAGAUCAGAACCAUCAAUGAAUAAACAUCUGUGAACUGCAGGUCCUGAGCUAGUGAUGAGCAAAUGAAGCUUUCUGAAGCACUGAAGCUUGUAUUGAAAAACUAUUUCAACACAGUUCCCCUUGGUGACAUCUGGUGGCCAAAAAUAUGAAGAGCAGCUUGAACCUACAACUUGUAAUGAACUGCUUCAUUAUGCCCAGUUAACAGAGCUGAAUUGACAGCCUCUGUUUGAUAUCAUGUGACAGUUCUGUCUGAUAUCGGGCUGAUAUGGUGUUUUGAAGGUGUAUUUUUUGUUGAAAAAAUGAUGUUAUACCCAUUUUAAUAAUAUUGAUGAAUACAUUUUCCUUGUUUAAACAUGUGCCAUGGUGUGUUCUCCUUUUGCUUGUGAC